AUGGAGAGACUUAAUAAACAAGUCUGUGGUAAAUGCAAAGACCCAAGACACUCUACCAGAGAUUGUAGAGUAGGACACUACUUGAUAUGUGGAAGGGAGAACCAUAUCACUAGUGAAUGCAACUUGCUGAAGCAAAUGAAACCAGUCCCCAAAUAUGUUGGAUAUGCUGCCAAAGGGCUGGGGAUCCUAUUGGUUCAAAGCUACAAAGAUGUGCUUGUAGCUGAACACACAAAUCCCUUAGGUGUGGUGAUCAUCAGAGAAGGAAAUAUCAAUGAAACUGAACUCACAAAGGCUAUGGAAGAGAUGUUUUAUUGGGGAUGGCAGUGGAGAGUUAAGGAGUUUGGGGAAAAUGGUUUCAUGAUGAGAUUCCCCAAUAAGGCAAAACUGGUAGAGAUGGCUAAAUUUAAUGAUUUCAAUUUGCUGGGGACAGGGGUGGUCAUUAAGGUCCAACCUUGGUCCUUGGACCAUCAAGCAGUGGGGAAAAUGCAUACUGCCUGGGUUAAGCUGAGCAAGGUGCCUGACUGUUUUAGACACUUCUUGGGCAUUUGUGAAGUUUCUGCUGCAGUGGGGCCUGUGUUGGAAGUGGACAUGGAUACAGUUAAUGAAGAAAAAGUUAGGGUCAAAUGUGGAAUCAGAGAUGUGGAAAUAACUCCACCUCAAGUGGAAAUCGCUGCCCCUGAUCUACUCAUGUUCAGAAUUGGUGUAGAGGUGGAGAAGGUGGUGAAAAUUGGCUGGUAUAAAGAGGAUAAGAGGAAAAAUGAAAACACACAUAACCUAGAAGAUGGAGAUGGAGAAACAAAAGAUAGAAAGAGAUUCAGGGUAGAAGAUACUGAACAUAAAGGCAUUACACUGGGAUGUUUGUCUCCCAAACAAAGUGAGGAAGUAGAUGGAAAACUGGUCAAAAUGAAAGCACAAUUAGAAGAAAGCAUGAUGCAGUGGCAAGAUGAGAUGUAUGCUGAGAGAAGGAAGUGGCAAAAAGAAAGUGACAUCAUGUUCAACAACAUCAAGACCUUAGAAGAAGACAAAGCCAGACACAAUGCAUUGUGCGCUAAAGCUGAAUAA
rnacentral:rRNA from 1 species